GUCACGAGUUUGAUCAUGGCUCAGAUUGAACGCUGGCGGCAUGGCUAAAACAUGCAAGUCGAACGAUCCCUUCGGGGAGAGUGGCGAAAGGGCGAGGAAUAGAAUCGAAUGUACCCCAAGGUGGGGGAUAGCCUCUGGAAACGGAGGGUAAUACCCCAUGUGCUCUACGGAGGAAAGGUUUACCGCCUUGGGAGCAGCGAUUCUCCUAUCAGGUAGUUGGUGAGGUAACGGCUCACCAAGCCGAAGACGGGUAGCGGGUGUGAGAGCAUGACCCGCCGCAUCGGGACUGAGACACUGCCCGGACUCCUACGGGAGGCUGCAGUAACGAAUCUUCCGCAAUGGGCGAAAGCCUGACGGAGCAAUGCCGCGUGUGGGAUGAAGCAUCUUCGAUGUGUAAACCACUGUCAGGGUCUAGGAAUACUGACCAGACCCAAAGGAAGGGCCGGCUAAUUCCGUG
rnacentral:rRNA from 1 species